AAGACUACACUCAGGGAUCAUUUCUACAGCUUGUUACUAGAGAAGUUUCUCUGAACAUGUGCAGUACUAGAAACUACAUAGAUGAAGGGCAAGGUGCCAUCUAGAAUGUGAAGCUCAUCCUGGGGUGUUGCUUCUGCAGCUGCCCUUUACAACUGAUGAUCUUUCUUCCCUCCUUUGGAAGAGCAAGAAAGAAGGGAAACCAUUUGAAUGGG